CCUACGGGAGGCAGCAGUGGGGAAUAUUGCACAAUGGGCGCAAGCCUGAUGCAGCGACGCCGCGUGAGGGAUGACGGCCUUCGGGUUGUAAACCUCUUUCAGUAGGGAAGAAGCGAAAGUGACGGUACCUGCAGAAGAAGCGCCGGCUAACUACGUGCCAGCAGCCGCGGUAAUACGUAGGGCGCAAGCGUUAUCCGGGAAUUAUUGGGCGUAAAGAGCUCGUAGGCGGUUUUGUCGCGUCUGCUGUGAAAGCCGGGGCUCAACUCCGGUUCUGCAGUGGGUACGGGCAGACUAGAGUGCAGUAGGGGAGACUGGAAUUCCUGGUGUAGCGGUGAAAUGCGCAGAUAUCAGGAGGAACACCGAUGGCGAAGGCAGGUCUCUGGGCUGUAACUGACGCUGAGGAGCGAAAGCAUGGGGAGCGAACAGGAUUAGAUACCCUGGUAGUCCAUGCCGUAAACGUUGGGCACUAGGUNUGGGGGACAUUCCACGUUUUCCGCGCCGUAGCUAACGCAUUAAGUGCCCCGCCUGGGGNGACGCGCAGCGAACGUAAGAAGUAGAGNGNGAGACGNGCGAGACGACGACGAGGGAGAG
rnacentral:rRNA from 1 species